rnacentral:rRNA from 1 species
UACAGAGGGUGCAAGCGUUUGUUCGGAAUUAUUGGGCGUAAAGCGCGUGUAGGCGGCUUUGCAAGUCGGGUGUGAAAGCCCUCAGCUUAACUGAGGAAGUGCGCCCGAAACUGCAGAGCUUGAGUACCGGAGAGGGUGGCGGAAUUCCCCAAGUAGAGGUGAAAUUCGUAGAUAUGGGGAGGAACACCGGUGGCGAAGGCGGC